rnacentral:rRNA from 1 species
GGAUGGAUACACUUAGUGGCGGACGGGUGAGUAACGCGUGGGUACCUGCCUCACACUGGGGGAUAACAGUUAGAAAUAGCUGCUAAUACCGCAUAAGUCCGCAUGGAAAAAACUCCGGUGGUGUGAGAUGGACCCGCGUCUGAUUAGCCAGUUGGCGGGGUAACGGCCCACCAAAGCGACGAUCAGUAGCCGGCCUGAGAGGGUGAACGGCCACAUUGGGACUGAGACACGGCCCAAACUCCUACGGGAGGCAGCAGUGGGGAAUAUUGCACAAUGGGGGAAACCCUGAUGCAGCGACGCCGCGUGGAGGAAGAAGGUCUUCGGAUUGUAAACUCCUGUCCCAGGGGACGAUAUGACGGUACCCUGGGAGGAAGCACCGGCUAACUACGUGCCAGCAGCCGCGGUAAAACGUAGGGUGCAAGCGUUGUCCGGAAUUACUGGGUGUAAAGGGAGCGCAGGCGGAUUGGCAAGUUGGGAGUGAAAUCUAUGGGCUCAACCCAUAAAUUGCUUUCAAAACUGUCAGUCUUGAGUGGUGUAGAGGUAGGCGGAAUUCCCGGUGUAGCGGUGGAAUGCGUAGAUAUCGGGAGGAACACCAGUGGCGAAGGCGGCCUACUGGGCACUAACUGACGCUGAGGCUCGAAAGCAUGGGUAGCAAACAGGAUUAGAUACCCUGGUAGU